GUCAGCACAAAAUCACCCAGGCAGCCACGCCCACAAAAUAUGGAUUUGGACAAGGACAAGGUACACAGGAAGGUGAAGAGAAAGCAGGCACAGUACUUGAAGCAAGAGCCUAAGACAGAUAUAGGAUUUCAAGAAGAACCCUCUGUACACUUAUUCAUUGGUAAUGGGGGUCUGAAGAAUGGAGUUCCCAGGGAGGUACUAGAACACAUGCUAAACCCAUUACAAUCCGAAGGAUAUUUGAAACAAUUGUACCUUCCAUCAGGAAAAGAUUAUGCAUUUGUCACAUUUACCAGUACGAUAAUUGCUAGUCAGUGUCUAGUGUCACUGAAUGGUGUGUGCAUAGUAGAAGUGUGUAGGAGCAACGAGAGCCUUCUUCAGUCCCUCCCCCCUGCCCUGUUGCAUGGACCCCCUGUACAUCUCUACAUGAGCUAUGUCAAUAAAAUACCAUCAAGCAUUUUAGGAUGUGGAGUGCCUAAACGAACAGAAUGCAGCCAGGUCCCUCCAGGACUUAUACUGCUGGAAGAUUUUGUGUCAAUUCAAGAAGAGGAUCAGUUGCUGAAAUUUUUCUCGUUUGAGAGUGAGACAAAGCAAACAUUACAGCCAAACAGAACAACUCAUGGGAUAGUAUCAGCUAAUGACGAACCUCAACAAACAGCCAUUGUAGUAAAACGUACUGAGGGUGGCUGCUCUCCACCAAAGGCAACUCUGAAACAUCGUCAAGUUAUGCACUUUGGCUACGAGUUUCUGUAUGGAAGUAACCUGGUUGACCCCAACAACCCUCUCCCUGGGCGCCUACCUGCCAUCACUCACCCUCUACUGGACAGGAUGAUGGAGCAAGGACUGAUCACACACCACCCAGACCAACUCACUGUCAAUAGAUACAACCCUGGAGCAGGUAUUCCCUCACAUGUGGACACCCACUCAGUUUUUCAAGGUCCAAUAAUUUCACUUAGCCUUGGAUCACAGGUUGUGAUGGAAUUCAAACACCCUACUGAUGGUAAGAAGGUUCCCCUGCUUCUCCCACCCAGAAGCUUGCUUGUGAUGAAUGGUGAAGCCAGGUACCUGUGGGGCCAUGGAACUGCUCCACAUUCUUUCCUAGAAUCCCAGCCAGAACCUGUGAUGAGGUUUUCCUAGAAUUGCUAGGAUACUGGGAGACUCCCUCAAAGAUCGGACCACAAGCCAGUAAUGUCCUUCCCAGAAGUACAAGAACAUCGCUCACCUUUAGGAAAAUAAGGCCCCAACCAUCUAUAUGCACUUGCGAUUAUCCCCUUCAAUGUGACUCUCAAAACUCAAGUGUGUAGCAAAAGGUUGGGCAGCGUAAAGCACUGAUCACUCUCGUGGUCUACCAAAUUAUACUCUGUAUAGACUGUCUGUAGAUCUACAUCACCCAGUACAUUUUAUGUGUUUAUGCCAUAAAAUAAUUAUUAUCAUAUAUGCUCAGAUAA